UACGGAGGGAGCUAGCGUUGUUCGGAAUUACUGGGCGUAAAGCGCACGUAGGCGGCUUUGUAAGUUAGAGGUGAAAGCCCGGAGCUCAACUCCGGAACUGCCUUUAAGACUGCAUCGCUUGAAUCCAGGAGAGGUGAGUGGAAUUCCGAGUGUAGAGGUGAAAUUCGUAGAUAUUCGCAAGAACACCAGUGGCGAAGGCGGCUCACUGGCCCGGUACUGACGCUGAGGCACGAAAGCGUGGGGAGCCAAACAGGGGUAGUAAACCAA
rnacentral:rRNA from 1 species